rnacentral:rRNA from 1 species
ACGGAAGGCAGCAGUGGGGAAUAUUGGGCAAUGGGCGCAAGCCUGACCCAGCAACGCCGCGUGAAGGAAGAAGGCCCUCGGGUUGUAAACUUCUUUUCUUAGGGACGAAGCAAGUGACGGUACCUAAGGAAUAAGCCACGGCUAACUACGUGCCAGCAGCCGCGGUAAUACGUAGGUGGCAAGCGUUAUCCGGAUUUACUGGGUGUAAAGGGCGUGUAGGCGGGAUGGUAAGUCAGAUGUGAAAACUAUGGGCUCAACUCAUAGCCUGCAUUUGAAACUGCUGUUCUUGAGUACUGGAGAGGCAGACGGAAUUCCUAGUGUAGCGGUGAAAUGCGUAGAUAUUAGGAGGAACACCAGUGGCGAAGGCGGUCUGCUGGACAGCAACUGACGCUGAGGCGCGAAAGCGUGGGGAGCAAACAGGAUUAGAUACCCUGGUA